rnacentral:rRNA from 1 species
UACGUAGGGGGCAAGCGUUGUCCGGAUUUAUUGGGCGUAAAGAGCGUGUAGGCGGCUUUACAGGUCCGUUGUGAAAACUCGAGGCUCAACCUCGAGACGCCGGUGGAAACCGUAAAGCUAGAGUCCGGAAGAGGAGAGUGGAAUUCCGUGGUGUAGCGGUGAAAUGCGCAGAUAUCAGGAGGAACACCCGUGGCGAAAGCGGCUCUCGUGGGACGGUACUGACGCUGAGACGCGAAGCGUGGG